rnacentral:rRNA from 1 species
GACAGAGGGUGCAAGCGUUACUCGGAAUUACUGGGCGUAAAGCGUGCGUAGGUGGUUCGUUAAGUCUGAUGUGAAAGCCCUGGGCUCAACCUGGGAAUGGCAUUGGAUACUGGCGAUCUAGAGUGCGGUAGAGGGCAGUGGAAUUCCCGGUGUAGCAGUGAAAUGCGUAGAGAUCGGGAGGAACAUCUGUGGCGAAGGCGACUGCCUGGACCAGCACUGACACUGAGGCACGAAAGCGUGGGGAGCAAACAGG